rnacentral:rRNA from 1 species
GAUGAACGCUGGCGGCGUGCCUAAUACAUGCAAGUCGAGCGAACGGAUGAGAAGCUUGCUUCUCUGAUGUUAGCGGCGGACGGGUGAGUAACACGUGGAUAACCUACCUAUAAGACUGGGAUAACUUCGGGAAACCGGAGCUAAUACCGGAUAAUAUUUUGAACCGCAUGGUUCAAAAGUGAAAGACGGUCUUGCUGUCACUUAUAGAUGGAUCCGCGCUGCAUUAGCUAGUUGGUAAGGUAACGGCUUACCAAGGCAACGAUGCAUAGCCGACCUGAGAGGGUGAUCGGCCGCACUGGAACUGAGACACGGUCCAGACUCCUACGGGAGGCAGCAGUAGGGAAUCUUCCGCAAUGGGCGAAAGCCUGACGGAGCAACGCCGCGUGAGUGAUGAAGGUCUUCGGAUCGUAAAACUCUGUUAUUAGGGAAGAACAUAUGUGUAAGUAACUGUGCACAUCUUGACGGUACCUAAUCAGAAAGCCACGGCUAACUACGUG